rnacentral:rRNA from 1 species
UCUUGGUCAUUUAGAGGAAGUAAAAGUCGUAACAAGGUCUCCGUUGGUGAACCAGCGGAGGGAUCAUUACCGAGUUUACAACUCCCAAACCCAAUGUGAACGUUACCAAACUGUUGCCUCGGCGGGAUCUCUGCCCCGGGUGCGUCGCAGCCCCGGACCAAGGCGCCCGCCGGAGGACCAACCUAAAACUCUUAUUGUAUACCCCCUCGCGGGUUUUUUUAUAAUCUGAGCCUUCUCGGCGCCUCUCGUAGGCGUUUCGAAAAUGAAUCAAAACUUUCAACAACGGAUCUCUUGGUUCUGGCAUCGAUGAAGAACGCAGCGAAAUGCGAUAAGUAAUGUGAAUUGCAGAAUUCAGUGAAUCAUCGAAUCUUUGAACGCACAUUGCGCCCGCCAGUAUUCUGGCGGGCAUGCCUGUCCGAGCGUCAUUUCAACCCUCGAACCCCUCCGGGGGGUCGGCGUUGGGGAUCGGCCCUCCCUUAGCGGGUGGCCGUCUCCGAAAUACAGUGGCGGUCUCGCCGCAGCCUCUCCUGCGCAGUAGUUUGCACACUCGCAUCGGGAGCGCGGCGCGUCCACAGCCGUUAAACACCCAACUUCUGAAAUGUUGACCUCGGAUCAGGUAGGAAUACCCGCUGAACUUAAGCAUAUCAAUAAGC